GACGAACGCUGGCGGCGUGCUUAACACAUGCAAGUCGAGCGGAGCGGCGGACGGGUGAGUAACGCGUGAGUAACUGCCCCCCUCUCUGGGAUAACAGUUGGAAACGGCUGCUAAUACCGGAUAGUGGGGGAUGAAUCGCGUCCUAUCAGCUUGUUGGUGGGGUAGUGGCCUACCAAGGCGACGACGGGUAGCCGGCCUGAGGGGGCGACCGGCCACAUUGGGCUGAGAGACGGCGCAAACUCCUACGGGAGGCAGCAGUGGGGAAUAUUGCACAGUGGGGGAAAGUCUGAUGCAGCGACGCCGCGUGCGGGAUGACGGGUUUCGGGUUGUAAACCACUUUCAGCCAUGCCGCGGUAGUGGCAGAAGAAGCACCGGCUAACUACGUGCCAGCAGCCGCGGUAAUUC
rnacentral:rRNA from 1 species